rfam:Schistosoma mattheei strain Denwood, Zambia genome assembly, scaffold: SMTD_scaffold0022859
AUCCAGCUGAUGAGUCUAAAAUAGAAUGAAACGCGCGUCCUAGAU